CAACGAGCAAUUCGAAGAUAUCGCGCCAAGUAUUAGAUUCCUUUACUUCCAUUACAACGAAAUGCGAGAACUGCCGGCCGGUUUCUUCUCGAACAUGAGAAAUCUAAUAACAGUGACUGUAGACACCAACCUGAUGUGUUGCCAUUUGACGAAGGAGGACGCAGAUUGCGACUUUGCUUAUGUCGACAGCUUCGCCAGUUGUGAAACUAUGUUCAGAGAUCGAGCCCCCAGGAUAUGUCUCUGGGUGGUCGGAAUUAUGUCGUUGGCUGGUGCU